rnacentral:rRNA from 1 species
UACGUAGGGUGCGAGCGUUAAUCGGAAUUACUGGGCGUAAAGCGUGCGCAGGCGGUUUUGUAAGCCAGAUGUGAAAUCCCCGGGCUUAACCUGGGAAUGGCAUUUGGGACUGCAAGGCUCGAGUGCGGCAGAGGAGACUGGAAUUCCUGGUGUAGCGGUGAAAUGCGUAGAGAUCAGGAAGAACAUCGGUGGCGAAGGCGCUCUGCUGGACCAUAACUGACACCCAGGGACGAAAGCUAGGGGAGCGAAUGGG